UCCGAUUUACACCGGCGGUCUCCUGUGAGUCCCCAUCUUUCAUGCUGGUAACACAGGACGAGGGUUGCGCUCGUUGGCGGACUUAACCGUACACCUCACGGCACGAGCUGACGACAGCCAUGCAACAAGUGUCUUCACGUCUCCUUGUGAGAGAGGGCCCCAUUUCUGAGGCUUGCGAUCGAUGUCAAGUCUGGGUAAGGUUCUUCGGUUAGUAUCGAAUUAAUCCACAUGCUCCACCGCUUGUGCGGGUCCCCGUCAAUUCAUUUGAGUUUCAACCUUGCGGCCGUACUCCCCAGGCGGGAUACUUAAUGCGUUAGCUGCGGCACAAGAGGGGUCGAUACCUCUUACAGCAAACGUGCACCGUUUACAGCUAGGACUAC
rnacentral:misc_RNA from 1 species